GUGCAGUCAGGGAUGCAGUGUGUGCUUUAUUGGGGGCAGCACUAGAGACCUCUGCUGGGCAGCUGCACAGGGAGCAGGACUUGGAGUUGCUCAGUUGGCAGCCACUGCACCUGGGUGACAAAAAAAGAGGCGGAAUUGCUCCAGGCGCGCCUCCUGGAACUGGGCAGGAUCAUAACUCUGCCCCAUCAGUGGGCCGCAGCAGUGACAGGUACCGCUCUUGUGCUAGGAGCCCAUGGCUCAGCAGUGCCUGAGCCAGGCCUGGCUGCACGGCCUCCAGCUGCCGCUUCACCACAGGAAACAGGUCCACCUCUCGAAAGUCAAACACCAGCAGCUUCCCAUACCUGCAAGCACUGCCAGUGAGCAUAAGGUGGAGCCUGGAGCCCCUGUCUGCCCAGCACCCUGCCCAGUACCCUGCCCAUCCUACCUCAGUGCCCCCAGCAGCGCCAUCCGGAUAGUCUCAGGUGCUCUGGGUUCAUGGUAUCUGUAUAGUUGGUGUCCUGGUAGCGCAGGAAGGUGGCUGCUUGGCCUGAAGGGUCUAUGACAAGAGGCCACCUGGGGGAGGCCGCCAGGUCACCGCUGGACACAGCCAUCCCAGACUCACCUGGGCCGAGCCUGAGUGCUGACCUGCUGUCAGCACUAAUGCAGUUGCCCACAUCCUUCAUCAGCAUGUCGUGGAGCUCGGUGACCUGGCACUUCAGCCCUGGAGCCUCCUCUUCCUCUGUGAGGAUGUUAGGAUAAUGCCCUUGGGAGCUCCCAAUCCAGACCCCUCUCCCCCGGCCUCACCACCCUCCACCCCCAGCAGAAGCCCCACUCAUCCUCCUGGCUCUGCUGCCGAAGCUCCAGCUGGGCCAUGGCCAGCAUCUCCUCAGUCUUAUGUGCCUCCUGCCGCAACCUGGCCACGUGGGCCUCUAUCCUUGAUGGCCUGGGGGGAGGUCCACACUGUCACCUUCCCUUCCCCCUUCUUGGCUCAGGGCCACUGCCUUAGGCUUUACCCAUCUCCCAUGGUGAUCUGGGUACUGGCCCCAAGUUCCAGGGCAAAGAUCCCAGCAAUACUGGGCCUGGCAGGGGAAGCCCUGGGCAGGUGUAGGACAAGGAGAGUACAGGAGGCAGGGCACAGCUCAGGAGUAGCCACACCUGCAGUGUGAGCUCAGCCUUGCCCGGGCACUUCUGCUGGCACCUGUCAUGCUCUGAGAUCCUCUGAUGGAGUUCACAAUAGGCCUGCUG
rnacentral:lncRNA from 1 species